rnacentral:rRNA from 1 species
GCCACGGCUACUACGUGCCAGCAGCCGCAGUAAUACGUAGGUCCCGAGCGUUGUCCGGAUUUAUUGGGCGUAAAGCGAGCGCAGGCGGUUUAAUAAGUCUGAAGUUAAAGGCAGUGGCUUAACCAUUGUUCGCUUUGGAAACUGUUAAACUUGAGUGCAGAAGGGGAGAGUGGAAUUCCAUGUGUAGCGGUGAAAUGCGUAGAUAUAUGGAGGAACACCGGUGGCGAAAGCGGCUCUCUGGUCUGUAACUGACGCUGAGGCUCGAAAGCGUGGGGAGCAAACAGGAUUAGAUACCCUGGUAGUCCACGCCGUAAACGAUGAGUGCUAGGUGUUAGGCCCUUUCCGGGGCUUAGUGCCGCAGCUAACGCAUUAAGCACUCCGCCUGGGGAGUACGACCGCA